UCUAGUGGCUCAGUUGGCAAAGCAUCUGCCUGCAAUGCAGGAGACCCAGGUUCAAUCCCUGAGUCUGGAA
rnacentral:tRNA from 1 species